rnacentral:snoRNA from 1 species
CUGUCUCAUGCCAAUCUCGACCAUCUGACCCCUUUUCAUAUCCUACGGCUGGUCUUGAGUUCGGAUGCGGGUGUCGCUUGUGUCCUCCAUUCGGGGCGACGUCGGUGGCAAGCCGUACUAGACAAGAGCAACAUCCAACACUCUUUGAGUGCGGGCCCUUCUUUCUGUGCAUCUAUGGAGGUUUCCUGCAAUUAAGUUGUUGUAACAUC